GCCCGGGUGGCGAAAUUGGUAGACGCACUAGCUUCAGGUGCUAGCGCCUUCACGGGCGUGCUGGUUCGAGUCCAGUCCCGGGCACCA
rnacentral:tRNA from 9 species